GAGGCUAACGCUGGCGGCGUGUCUUAGCCAUGCAAGUCGAGCGGACUUAUGGGGUAACUUAUAAGUCAGCGGCGGACGGCGGAGUAACACGUAGCUAACCUACCCUCUGGACGGGGAUAACCUACCGAAAGGUGGGCUAAUACCCGAUGUAGUCAUCCUGUAUAGGGGUGAUGAAAGGUGGGCUUCUGUUUACAAGCUCAUGCUGGAGGAGGGGGCUGCGGCCUAUCAGGUAGUUGGUAGGGUAAUAGCCUACCAAGCCGAUGACGGGUAGCCGGCCUGAGAGGGUGACCGGCCCGAGGGGCACUGAGAUACGGGUCCCACUCCUACGGGAGGCAGCAGGCUAGAAAUUUGGGCAAUGGGGGAAACCCUGACCCAGUGACGCCGCGUGCAGGAAGGAGCCCUUCGGGGUGUAAACUGCUGUCGUGUAGGGAGAAGGGUACUAAGGUGAACAAUCUUAGUACUUGACGGUACUACAGGAGGAAGCCCAGGCUAACCUCGUG
rnacentral:rRNA from 1 species